AGUGAACCUCUGAGAGCUGAGUUGCUCCGGGCCACCUGCCGAAUCUUCAUAUGGCACCCCUUCAACCUUGGGCGAUGGUGAAAUCACCGACUCUCAGGGGUUCCGGGGUGUCACUGGGACAGAUGGAAGGCUGUCAGGCUUGGCUUGGUUCCCAGUCUCUGCAGCCUUCUUCCUUCCGCAGCCAACAUCACCUGCAAGCUUCCUUCUGCCACGUCUCUAAGGAGGCUGCAGCCCAGACCCCGAGGCUCACAUCCAUGCAGGCCCC
rnacentral:lncRNA from 1 species